CCAAUGCCAGCCAGCUCCAGGACAGACUUCCGGGCACUGGCCAAGGCCGAACCAAUUAGGAGUGAUAGUAACGCCUCUAUGAUAAUAUAUUUAAGAACAGAAGAUUGUUGUGCAGGAGAAAUUCCAGCCAGGGAAGAGCGGAGUGAGAACAUGGGAAUAACAAUGUAGACACCAAGUAACUACAGAAGGUGAAAAAUGAAGGCUGGACCUUGCAAAUACCUAUGAUGGGAAGGGAGAUUACAGAUGAAUGAAGCAAAGGAACGUGCAACUGCCACAGAGACAUUCUGAUGGAGCUGCUAAGUAUCUUCUUCUAUACACUGUGAAAUCUGAGACAGCUUCAUUUGUCCCACAUGCCUCCAGAGACAACGACACAGAUAGUGCAACACUAAAGACUCCCUCACCAUUCCUCCUUCUGACCUCCUUUUUCCUAUAGAAGUAUUAUGUGACUAGAUUUUAAAAAUAUUAUUUAAAAUAGCCAACAUACCCUCCCACUCAGAGCAGUGGUCAUACACAUUAUGCUGACUUGUACUACAUUUAUGUUUAAAAAAAAUGCCAGUAACUGAAAACUACAUUGAGCACUACAUAUUUUCUAGUCAGAAGUUUGAUUUUAAGGCCUGGCCUGCCUUUUUAUAAUAUUAUUUACUUUGCCUAUGUUAUGGAUAUAGAAACAGUACUGUUGUGACUAGAAAAGUGUAUUUAGGAAGGAUUGAGGGGUGUUCAGUAACUUUUCCCGUAACAUUAACACCACACAGGAAAAGUUACUCUGGAAUGAUUUUACAUUUGCUGGCACACCUUUUCACUUACAACUAACUGCAAGAGAAAAAAAAUUGAACUAGAGAAGGAAAACUGUCUAAGAGCAAGCUGUACUUGGGAACACAUCUCAAAAAAGGAGGUUUCUUGACUUGGAAGAAUUCCUCUUCCCCAAUAUUCAGAAUCCAAUAAAGUUCAUUAAUUUCAGUGAUAGUUGAAGAGUUAAUAUGAACAGUAAGUCUACAUUGUUAUGAGACUUAACAUCACAGAUUUUGGAAUGCAUAAUGUAACAAUUGCUUAGAGAUUAAAUACUGGAUUGGAAACAUUGAUUUGAAACACUGGACAGCUUUGGGGUCCCAAAGGUUAGGCUCUGGAAACACAGAUAAUUACAUUUUAAGACUUCCAAGUCAUAAUGGCUACUUCUAAGACCAAAAAUAGAUGGCCUCAGGAAUAGCACUAAGUAUAUUUCAGUGCCAGAGAGAACAUAAAAAAGAACUGACAACCCAACACCUUAAAAAUUGAACAGCAGAUCCCCCACACUGAUUGGCUAAAAUGUCGUAUUUUUUAAUCACUUUUUGCCUCCCAUUUUGCAACAAUAUGGUUAGUAACAUUUAAAAAAUUUUCCUCUGCACACAGAAGACCUAAAAAGAUAUUUUUAGCCUGGCUUCCUAAGGAAAUGAAACUUAUCCGUUAGGCCCUCAUCACAAUAACUCUGAAUUCAUGGAGUGAUUUCUGCCAGGUCUGACAGAGUGUAAAACAUAUUAGAUUCCCAAAAUUGGCAGCUGGGAAAGAGAAUGCAACUAGUGCUCCCAUUGUGGGGCUGCCUUCGCUGGACAUGAGAGGGAACACCCAGGAGCUUCUCCCUGCUGUCUCGGAGACCAGGUUGCUGCGAUUGUGUUGCUCGGGGCUCUAGGUGGAGCACUGAAAGGAUAAGGCUGGUUUUGUCUGAUUGUCUUGUUUGCUGUAAUGAAAGCUGAAAUGAUCAUCUGUUUACAUGAUUCCUGUUCGGUUGGAAAUGAAAGUAGCAUUGACCAAAUCCUUCAGUAAUAUGUAUCUUGACACAGGUCCACCAAGACUCUUAAGAACAGUGUAUAUUUGCUGAGGAUCCAGCAUCAAGCACUGCAGUGCAGUGAAGGCCGAGAGGAUGAAAUUUAUCACUGGCAUGAAUGAGGGGAAAAUUUGAAAAAUUCCAAGGGGAUCUCCUGUAGCUGAAAAACUAGGUAAAAGAAUAAUAAUAAUAACAAAAUUUGGUACAAAGGAGCAGAUGACAAUGAUUAAGAUGUCUGCAAAACAAGCUCAUUUUGUCACUUCAUAAGAACAUUGCUAAUUACGCUCAUGGUCCUCAGAUGAGGGAUGUGGAUGGCCUCAAAAAGCAACAUCUUUUGCAGCUAUUACUGCUCUAAUUUAUUCACUACUGUUAGAGUUUAAUUUUUUUCUUCUUACACAACUUACUGGAUGUUUUCUUUGAUGGCUCUUAAAAGAUAUUGGUAUUAAAGGUAACUUAUGUGGAAGACUUCUCAUUACAGCACAUCCAUACGUUAGAGCAAGAGGAGCUGACAGGCACAAGGUUGCUCCUAAGCUGAACCCUCCACAGUGCACCAUGUUUUCUUGUGUGAGAUUCACAUGGAAUUACUUGUACUGUUUUUCAGUAUGAGAUUAUAAAUAAAACAAUAAAAAUUUCAAAUACUUAUUUUUUUAUCAACCUCAUGAAGCUCCUCAAA